rnacentral:rRNA from 1 species
AUUGAACGCUGGCGGCAGGCCUAACACAUGCAAGUCGAGCGGUAGCACAGAGAGCUUGCUCUCGGGUGACGAGCGGCGGACGGGUGAGUAAUGUCUGGGAAACUGCCUGAUGGAGGGGGAUAACUACUGGAAACGGUAGCUAAUACCGCAUAACGUCGCAAGACCAAAGUGGGGGACCUUCGGGCCUCAUGCCAUCAGAUGUGCCCAGAUGGGAUUAGCUAGUAGGUGGGGUAAUGGCUCACCUAGGCGACGAUCCCUAGCUGGUCUGAGAGGAUGACCAGCCACACUGGAACUGAGACACGGUCCAGACUCCUACGGGAGGCAGCAGUGGGGAAUAUUGCACAAUGGGCGCAAGCCUGAUGCAGCCAUGCCGCGUGUGUGAAGAAGGCCUUCGGGUUGUAAAGCACUUUCAGCGGGGAGGAAGGCGUUAAGGUUAAUAACCUUGGCGAUUGACGUUACCCGCAGAAGAAGCACCGGCUAACUCCGUGCCAGCAGCCGCGGUAAUACGGAGGGUGCAAGCGUUAAUCGGAAUUACUGGGCGUAAAGCGCACGCAGGCGGUCUGUCAAGUCGGAUGUGAAAUCCCCGGGCUCAACCUGGGAACUGCAUUCGAAACUGGCAGGCUAGAGUCUUGUAGAGGGGGGUAGAAUUCCAGGUGUAGCGGUGAAAUGCGUAGAGAUCUGGAGGAAUACCGGUGGCGAAGGCGGCCCCCUGGACAAAGACUGACGCUCAGGUGCGAAAGCGUGGGGAGCAAACAGGAUUAGAUACCCUGGUAGUCCACGCCGUAAACGAUGUCGAUUUGGAGGUUGUGCCCUUGAGGCGUGGCUUCCGGAGCUAACGCGUUAAAUCGACCGCCUGGGGAGUACGGCCGCAAGGUUAAAACUCAAAUGAAUUGACGGGGGCCCGCACAAGCGGUGGAGCAUGUGGUUUAAUUCGAUGCAACGCGAAGAACCUUACCUGGUCUUGACAUCCACAGAACUUUCCAGAGAUGGAUUGGUGCCUUCGGGAACUGUGAGACAGGUGCUGCAUGGCUGUCGUCAGCUCGUGUUGUGAAAUGUUGGGUUAAGUCCCGCAACGAGCGCAACCCUUAUCCUUUGUUGCCAGCGGUUAGGCCGGGAACUCAAAGGAGACUGCCAGUGAUAAACUGGAGGAAGGUGGGGAUGACGUCAAGUCAUCAUGGCCCUUACGACCAGGGCUACACACGUGCUACAAUGGCAUAUACAAAGAGAAGCGACCUCGCGAGAGCAAGCGGACCUCAUAAAGUAUGUCGUAGUCCGGAUUGGAGUCUGCAACUCGACUCCAUGAAGUCGGAAUCGCUAGUAAUCGUAGAUCAGAAUGCUACGGUGAAUACGUUCCCGGGCCU